rnacentral:rRNA from 1 species
ACCCGCUGAACUUAAGCAUAUCAAUAAGCGGAGGAAAAGAAACCAACAGGGAUUGCCCCAGUAACGGCGAGUGAAGCGGCAACAGCUCAAAUUUGAAAUCUGGCCCCAGGCCCGAGUUGUAAUUUGCAGAGGAUGCUUUUGGCGCGGUGCCUUCCGAGUUCCCUGGAACGGGACGCCAUAGAGGGUGAGAGCCCCGUACGGUUGGACACCAAGCCUUUGUAAAGCUCCUUCGACGAGUCGAGUAGUUUGGGAAUGCUGCUCUAAAUGGGAGGUACAUUUCUUCUAAAGCUAAAUAUUGGCCAGAGACCGAUAGCGCACAAGUAGAGUGAUCGAAAGAUGAAAAGCACUUUGAAAAGAGGGUUAAACAGCACGUGAAAUUGUUAAAAGGGAAGCGCUUGUGACCAGACUUGCGUCCGGUGAAUCACCCAGCUCUCGCGGCUGGGGCACUUCGCCGGCACAGGCCAGCAUCAGCUUGCCGUCGGGGACAAAAGCUUCAGGAACGUGGCUCCUCUCGGGGAGUGUUAUAGCCUGUUGCAUAAUACCCUUCGGCGGGCUGAGGUACGCGCUCCGCAAGGAUGCUGGCGUAAUGGUCAUCAGCGACCCGUCUUGAAACACGGACCAAGGAGUCAACCUUAUGUGCGAGUGUUUGGGUGUUAAACCCCUACGCGUAAUGAAAGUGAACGCAGGUGAGAGCUUCGGCGCAUCAUCGACCGAUCCUGAUGUUCUCGGAUGGAUUUGAGUAAGAGCAUAUAGGGUUGGACCCGAAAGAAGGUGAACUAUGCGUGUGUAGGGUGAAGCCAGAGGAAACUCUGGUGGAGGCUCGCAGCGGUUCUGACGUGCAAAUCGAUCGUCAAACAUGCGCAUGGGGGCGAAAGACUAAUCGAACCUUCUAGUAGCUGGUUUCCGCCGAAGUUUCCCUCAGGA